CAGUAGCCGCGGGAAUACGGAGGGUGCAAGCGUUAAUCGGAAUUACUGGGCGUAGAGCGUGCGUAGGUGGUGGUUUAAGUCCGUUGUGAAAGCCCUGGGCUCAACCUGGGAAUUGCAGUGGAUACUGGGUCACUAGAGUGUGGUAGAGGAUAGUGGAAUCUCCGGUGUAGCAGUGAAAUGCGUAGAGAUCGGAAGGAACAUCUGUGGCGAAGGCGACUAUCUGGGCCAACACUGACACUGAGGCACGAAAGCGUGGGGAGCAAACAGGAUUAGAUACCCCAGUAGUCCCUGUCUCUUAUAC
rnacentral:rRNA from 1 species